rfam:Triticum aestivum genome assembly, contig: Triticum_aestivum_CS42_TGACv1_scaffold_423336_5BS
CAAAUACUCCCUCCGUCCGGAAAUACUUGUCAUCAAAAUGGAUAAAAGGAAAUGUAUCUAGACGUAUUUUAGUUUUAGAUACAUCUCUUUUUAUCCAUUUUGAUGAUAAGUAGUUUCGGACAGAGGGAGUAGAAA